rnacentral:rRNA from 1 species
GACGAACGCUGGCGGCGUGCUUAACACAUGCAAGUCGAACGGUAGCGCUCCAGCUUGCUGGGGUACACGAGUGGCGAACGGGUGAGUAACACGUGGGUGACCUGCCCUGCACUUCGGGGUAGGCCUGGGAAACUGGGCCUAAUACCGGAUCGGACCGCACCGUCGGGGGGAAGUGGGGAGUCUUUGCGGUUUGGGAUGGGGCCGUGGCCUAUGAGCGUGUUGGUCGGGUAAUGGGCUACCAAGGCGGCGGCGGGUAGCCGGCCUGUGGUGUUGGACGGCCACAUUGGUACUGAGACACGGACCAGACUCCUACGGGAGGCAGCAGUGGGGAAUAUGGCACAAUGGGCGGAAGCCUGAUGCAGCGACGCCGCGUGGGGGAUGACGGCCUUCGGGUUGUAAACUCCUUUCACCAUCGACGAAGGGUUUCUGACGGUAGAUGGAGAAGAAGCACCGGCUAACUACGUG